rnacentral:rRNA from 1 species
CUUUACUGUAACCUGGAAUUGGGUUCGGGCUUUGCUUGCGCAGUAUAGGUGGGAGGCGUUGAGUUUAUUCUUGCGGGAAUUUAGGAGCCAUCAGUGAGAUACCACUCUGGUAAUGUUAGAUUUCUAACUUUGUAUCAUAAUCUGGUCAAAGGACAGUUUCAGGCGGGCAGUUUGACUGGGGCGGUCGCCUCCUAAAUGGUAACGGAGGCGUACAAAGGUUUCCUCUGAACGUGUAGAAAUCGUAUCUAGAGUAUAAAGGCAUAAGGAAGCUUGACUGUGAGACUUACAAGUCGAGCAGGGACGAAAGUCGGUCUUAGUGAUCUGACGGUGCUGAGUGGAAAGGCCGUCACUCAACGGAUAAAAGUUA